rnacentral:rRNA from 1 species
AUUGAACGCUGGCGGCAUGCUUUACACAUGCAAGUCGAACGGUAACAGGCCUUCGGGUGCUGACGAGUGGCGAACGGGGGAGUAAUGCAUCGGAACGUACCCAGAGGUGGGGGAUAACGCAGCGAAAGCUGUGCUAAUACCGCAUGUGAUCUGAGGAUGAAAGCGGGGGACCGAGCAGCAAUGUUUGGCCUCGCGCCUUUGGAGCGGCCGAUGUCGGAUUAGCUAGUUGGUGGGGUAAAGGCCUACCAAGGCGACGAUCCGUAGCUGGUCUGAGAGGACGACCAGCCACACUGGGACUGAGACACGGCCCAGACUCCUACGGGAGGCAGCAGUGGGGAAUUUUGGGCAAUGGGCGCAAGCCUGAUCCAGCAAUGCCGCGUGCGGGAAGAAGGCCUUCGGGUUGUAAACCGCUUUUGGCAGGAACGAAACGGUGUCCGCUAAUACCGGGCGCUAAUGACGGUACCUGCAGAAUAAGCACCGGCUAACUACGUG